CGGACGGGUGAGUAACGCGUGAGGGUCUGCCCUCAGGAGGGGGACAACGACUGGAAACGGUCGCUAAUACCCCAUAUGCCGAGAGGUGAAAUGUUUUUCGCCUGAGGAUGAGCUCGCGUCAGAUUAGCUAGUUGGUGGGGUAACGGCCUACCAAGGCGACGAUCUGUAGCUGGUCUGAGAGGAUGAUCAGCCACACUGGGACUGAGACACGGCCCAGACUCCUACGGGAGGCAGCAGUGGGGAAUUUUCCGCAAUGGGCGAAAGCCUGACGGAGCAAUACCGCGUGAGGGAGGAAGGCUCUUGGGUCGUAAACCUCUUUUCUCAGGGAAGAACACAAUGACGGUACCUGAGGAAUAAGCAUCGGCUAACUCCGUGCCAGCAGCCGCGGUAAUACGGAGGAUGCAAGCGUUAUCCGGAAUGAUUGGGCGUAAAGCGUCCGCAGGUGGCUAUGUAAGUCUGCUGUUAAAGCGUCUAGCUCAACUAGAUAAGAGCAGUGGAAA
rnacentral:rRNA from 1 species